rnacentral:tRNA from 1 species
AAGGCUUUAAGUUAAUUAAACUAAUAGCCUUCAAAGCUGUCAAUAAAGUAAAUUCAUUCUUUAAGCCUUA